UGCUAGUUGUGCGGGUUUAGACCCGCAGCGGAAAGCUCAGUAACACGUGGCCAAACUACCCUGUGGAUGGGAACAAUCUCGGGAAACUGAGGCUAAUUCCCAAUAACGCUCCGCCCCUGGAACGGGCGGAGCUGGAAACGCUACGGCGCCACAGGAUGUGGCUGCGGUCGAUUAGGUAGACGGUGGGGUAACGGCCCACCGUGCCAAUAAUCGGUACGGGUUGUGAGAGCAAGAGCCCGGAGACGGAAUCUGAGACAAGAUUCCGGGCCCUACGGGGCGCAGCAGGCGCGAAACCUUUACACUGUACGCAAGUGCGAUAAGGGGACUCCGAGUGUGAAGGCAUAGAGCCUUCACUUUUGUACACCGUAAGGUGGUGUACGAAUAAGGGCUGGGCAAGACCGGUGCCAGCCGCCGCGGUAAUACCGGCAGCCCGAGUGAUGGCCGAUAUUAUUGGGCCUAAAGCGUCCGUAGCUGGCCGGACAAGUCCGUUGGGAAAUCUGUUCGCUUAACGAGCAGGCGUCCAGCGGAAACUGUUCGGCUUGGGACCGGAAGACCUGAGGGGUACGUCCGGGGUAGGAGUGAAAUCCCGUAAUCCUGGACGGACCACCGGUGGCGAAAGCGCCUCAGGAGGACGGAUCCGACAGUGAGGGACGAAAGCUAGGGUCUCGAACCGGAUUAGAUACCCGGGUAGUCCUAGCUGUAAACGAUGCCCGCUAGGUGUGGCGCAGGCUACGAGCCUGCGCUGUGCCGUAGGGAAGCCGAGAAGCGGGCCGCCUGGGAAGUACGUCUGCAAGGAUGAAACUUAAAGGAAUUGGCGGGGGAGCACUACAACCGGAGGAGCCUGCGGUUUAAUUGGACUCAACGCCGGACAUCUCACCAGCUCCGACAGUAGUAAUGACGGUCAGGUUGAUGACCUUACCCGACGCUACUGAGAGGAGGUGCAUGGCCGCCGUCAGCUCGUACCGUGAGGCGUCCUGUUAAGUCAGGCAACGAGCGAGACCCGCACUCCUAAUUGCCAGCAGUACCCUUUUGGGUAGCUGGGUACAUU
rnacentral:rRNA from 1 species